AAGUAAUGAAGUGGAAAGUGAAGAAGGUAGCUUGAUGAUAAGAAUGUGUUAACAGUUUUACAAAAACUUUUCUAAAUUGUAGGAUACAUAUGCUGGAUGGGUAACCAACUGAAUGAAUUGCAAUUCGCAGGCUGUGAAAUACCCGUCUUCUUUACUUGUCAGCUUUCUGGCCAUUUUGAUGAGAUGCAAACAUGAACUCAGCAAGUUUGUCCUUCAUCCCCCUCUCUUCCUUUAUCAGGAGUUUUAUCAGGAACUCAGCAGAUGACUGCCUCUGUCUAUCAGGAGAGCAGUAUGACUGCAAGUGGAAAUGAACAAGAAAAAACACAAAUCUUUAUUAUCCAAAUACUAGGCUGAAUGGCAGCAAGGAUGAAAUAAGCUUUUCUUUAUCACUUUUUGAUUAUUCCUUUGCCAGUUUGAAGUGUACUUGGAGAGGAGUUGUUUUGUUUGUUUUGUUUUGGUUUUUCACUUGGAGCUCAUUUCUCUGGGACCUUCAGGCCCAUGCAGAGUUGGUAUUUGCUUAGAGAGGGCAUGAUAAAUGUCUCUCUCAAGAGAACAGGGUUAUAACUGAGGGUCCUCCAUCAGGUCACAUAGAGGUACGAAUGUGGCCACUGAGGAGUUCUGUACCCUUUUCUGCAUUUACUUCCAAACAGGUUGUAACUGCAAACAUAUGAUGCGCUUGCAUUUGGAACAGGGAGGUGACAUCGAGAUGAUCUGAGGUCAGGAGAAAACUGUACACAAGUAAAAUGGAGAAGUUGAUCCAGGUGAAGAGGAAUGCUGGAUGGAAAGGAAUAAGCAGCAGAAUAACUUGUCUGACACAUAUAAUUCACUGUGACACUACUUCCUUCAGGACUUCCAUAUGUGAGAUACUAAAACAGAAAGCAACUGCAUGAAGGAGACGUGCUCAAGGAGCUCUUUCCGACCUUAGUCUCCGCCAAGAAAACCAAAACUGGGGCAGGGACUUUCUGUAACUUCCUUUCACAUCGACGUGCACACUUUUACUUGCUCCUGACUGUUCUCCCCCGUAGCAAGGGGAGAACAAGGACAAACGCAGAGGAUGAGCAGCGCCUGUGGAGAGCUUGCUCCAAGGACAACCACAGCACCCUGCAGCACUAGGCCAACGCCAUAUCGGCGUUCCUGGCGCAUUCCUGGGGACGGUUUCAGGACCAGUUUUGGGUCUGUUUUGGGCCUGGUGUCAAAGCAGCUUCCGGCUCCCUCCCCUCCCCCACCCCAGCUCCCUGCCCCUCCCCCCAUUCCAACGGCUGUUCUCCGAACUCUCUAGAGACUCCUCGUGCCCGAAGCCCCGGUUGCUAGGCAACACCAUUUACCUCACGCGCAUUGCCAUGGUGACAGCUCCCGGCGGGCGGGCCACCAUGGCAGCUCCUCACACAGCAGCCGUUGGAGCCCCACACGCGGGACAUGGAACCACCUCACCUCACCUCAGCCAGGACCCCAAGCCAUUCUCCCCUCAGUCUUGUGGCCGCAGGCACCAAGGCCUGGCAGCACUCCCAGCACUGUCAGGCACAGUUUCAGGACCACUGACCUCUGGCAAGAAGUGUUCAAUCAAAGCACAGAACGGGCAUUUGGGGAAGGCAAUUUGGGAAAUUUGUUUACUUCUGUACAUGCCGUAUGUAGGUGGGAACAGUUUUCUCCAGAGUUGCCAGAGGGACAUCAAGAGCACACAUAGGGGUGAGCAUGUGUACAUAGCCACGAGAGGAGCAAUUGUAAAGGGAUCAUCCUGAGUGGGAAUAAAGCCAUAAAAAUGCUUGCUUCCCCAUUCUACGGAAACACUCUCUUACCACUAGUGGUGAAAUAGCAAGUAAGCAAAGAGCGUAAAACCAUGGUGCUACUCCUUAGCAACAAGCAAAAUGGUAGAAUGGAACACCAGAACCCCUCUAGCAACUGGAAGAUGACAGUUAAAAAGCAGAGGGAGCAGAGUCACUAAAAAGGUUGCAAUCAAAAUAAAAUUAAUCAUCCAAGCAAAACAAGGCAAACCUUUUUGCCCUUUGUAACAGGUAGGUGGCUUUCCUCAAUAAAUAGCAGCAGGUCUUUUUGAGGAUUAUUGUAUAAUAAAUCCAGUUCUUACAGUUACAAUGGGAAUAAGAUAAAAUAUUUUGUUUUUCUGAAGUUGCUCUAAUGCCUUUGCUGUAUUUUACAGGUUUGCCAAGUGGUGGCUAUUUAGUUGCUCACUGUUUUCACUGUUGGGUGAUCAAAAAAGUGAAUGAUAGUGAAUUUGUUCUUUCCACAACUGAUAAGAGAAGCCAUCAACAGUUUCAUGUUUCAGAGAAAAGUGAAACCCACAAGCAGGCUGGGAAAGGUAAAGCAAAAGUGAUACCAGAGCCCGGAGCAGCUAGAACACUUUGAGGUAAGAUAAAUUGAGACAGAAGCAGUGCAUCCUCAUUGCCUCAUCUCAGGAGUAAAUGGGCUGUUUAUUAGCAUGAGACUAGUACAAAAGGCAGGACUACAAAGGAGAAUUGAAAGAAACCAUGCCUAAAAAAUCUCAGUAAUUUGAAAGGAUUUGACUUUGCACCUGUUUCACAUCCUUUGUUGUACAAAGGUACAAGUCUCACUAUCAAGGUACAAGGUACAUCCAAGGCUGUACCUUGUCCUUGAUAGUGAAACUGUUGGCCAGCUUUUAAUGCAAUUCCAAAAUACAAUUUUGCGGGUCAAGUUCUGAGGACAGGAAUGGAAAUGUGAUGGUGGAAAGGGGGAUAAGAAUACAAAAGAUAGAAUUUUCUACAUUUUGUAAGCUUGUAAUACAAAGAAUUGGAAGAAAUACAUUUACAGGGAUAUAAAAUAUAAGCAAAAAAAAAAAAAUUAAAAGAAGGCAGUAUGACAUAGGACCACUGCAAAGGAACAUAAUAGGGACAUUACAGAUUGGACAGACUGCAAACCAUUUAGGAAAACUGAAGUGUGGAUUAAUCCAGGGAAAAAAAAAAAAAAGAAAAAAAAAGAAAAAAAAAAAGCAAAUGAUGUGGAAAAAAAAAGCUGGGGGGGGGAUAUGAUUAAACAGGUUUUAAUGGAUACAUUCUUUAAAUCUAUAUCAAGUUUCAGUAUUUGGUAUUUCAGACAGUUAUUUAUAUUGCUGUUGGCCAGGUCUGUUGUUAAUCAAAUACUAUGUAGAAAGUGUGUUCAAAUGUUGUGAAAUAUUCACACAAAAAGUUUAUUUUGCUAACUGACAGUGAUACAAUCGGAUACACUAAAACCCAUGUAUUCCUCUUCAUUUCACAAAACUCAGCACUUAGCAUGAUGAAGGUGGAAUAUUUAACUCUGGUUAGUAUGUCCAGUUCCAGAGAUUAUUUUUUGUGUGUGUGUAUGUGGAGACAUGAGACCAGGAUAAACUGAGAUCAAUGGCUGUUUAUAAAUUAAAAAUGUCUGAAUUGUCAAUCAAAUAUACUUCUAGUAGUUUUGAAAUUUCUUUAAGCAGUACUAAUAUAAUACAAUUUAAUAUAAAACUUGUGUCUUUCAGAAUAAAUAAUAAAGUAUUAUUGGUAUCUGAAAGUUGGGCUGAUGUGAAAAUGCAAAGUAAAGUGUUGAUGUGCUCAAAAAUGUUAUAACCAUUUAGGAUAUUUUGUUGAGUGACAGCAAAAUGUCUUCAUCAUAUCUACAGAUUUUCUACAUGAUCUAUUUCUCUUCUCCCUGCUCCCAGAGGGAUACUUUUGCUGGAGAAUGUGCUUCUUUAGAAACGUGUCAUUACGCUGUCUUAAUGAAGAAAUGUAAUACAAUGAAAGAAUGUUUUGCUUUGAAAUUUUUGUUGAUCACUUCCUUUUGAAACCAAUGAGACACAUUUGAAAAUACAGUUGUUAAUAUUUUAAUAACAUGAUAUACUGUGAACUACAUCAAGAAAGUAUUAAAAGGUCAAUUUAUAAGAAUACAGCAGAAUAACACUAAUAAGUACUAAAAUGAACUCAUGUUUCACCGUUUUUAUCAGAAAGCAGAGAAUAAAGAAAAAUAUAUGAUUUAUUCACAGGAACUUUUGGACUCUUGGAUUAAGAAAGGGGAGGGGGGAAGUGUUAUUUUAGUUUUUGUUUUUUAUUACUUACUACCCAAAUCUAUUUUAAUUGGCAAUAAAUUAAAUUAAUGCCCCCCUAAGUCAAGCCUGUUUUACCACUGAGAGUAACUGGUAAGCAAUUUCACAGUCUUUACCAUGACCCACAGACUUUUCCACCAUAUUUUCUCCCCUCGUCCAGCUGAGGAGGUGGAGUGAGAGAGCUGCGUGGACAUCUGGCUGCUGGCCAAGACUAACCCAUCACAGUACAGUAAUUAGUGCAGUCAUGUCGUGCAGUCCAAGCCCAAGAUUUUUAAGUAAUUUCAUAACAGCUCACUAUUUAAAAUGAUGUUUUUAUUUUAAUACCAUAUGCUAUUGGUAACAAUGGAAAACAAUUAUAUAUUUUUCCUUUUAUUGAUUAUAUUAAAUAAUACAGCUGGUAUACGUGCUUUGUGCAUAAUAUAGUAUCAUCAUAGACUCAAUUUAGUCUUCAUUUGUUAUUUUUGUAAAUAAAAUCUUAAAACACUUUUACAGAUAGUAGGGUGGAAACACUAUGAAGUAUUUUCAGCUUUAUCUGUGUCCAGUGUGAUUUCUGACUAAUGGAAACUAGAAAUCUGAAUAACACACCCACAACCAUGGAAGGACUAAAUCCAGUUUGCAUUCCAUAGCAACCUAGUUGCACAAAAAGUUGCCAAUGAGCAAUUCCAAUGAACUAUACGGUUGUAGAACAGUUAAGUUUCAUGGAUCUUGUUAAGGAAAAAAAUAAAAAUAAAUAAAAAAUAAAUGUUGGGGGAGGGGCUUGCUUAACAAGAUCCAUGAAAAAAAGAAGUGUUUUUUUGCUUCUUUGUUUGUUUGUUGAAAUCAUGAAUCCUAUCCCAAGAACGAUCAACAGUGGAUCUGAUUGUGGUCAAAGGAAAACAAGCUUUGGUAACACCUGAUUCAGGGCUUACAAGACAUGCAGCUCACGAACAUAGCACUUGCAGAUUUUUAGUUUUAGCACUGCUAUUGAAUGAAGGCCUGUAGAAGACUGUUGGAAGAGGAGAAAUAUGAGAGAAUGGAGAAGCAGAAAGAGUAAAGAGAGCAAUCUGCAGAUGUGGCAGAGACCAAGUAUAUUAGGGGAUAAAACAAAAGGAAUGGAUGGAAAAGAUAAAUGGCAAUGAAUUAAAUUUAAUUAAUGGCAGCUCUACUUUCAAUCCUACUACCUGCUGUUACCAACCGUUCCCCUUCCUUUUGAUUUCUACUCCUCCCUUGUCAUACAUAGGCAUCCAUCUGAUCUUAGAAGCUGCCACAGACACAGGGAAUGGCAGGCAUAGAACAGAUGCAUCUCACACAAAAUUGGGAAUAGAGAAGUGAUCUCAGGUCCCCAUAUCAUAGGGAAUGUCUCUGUGAGAGGGCCCUGUAACACUGAUAGAGGGAUAAAAUUGUCUCUGAGUGUACAUGUUAGCCUGUUAGUCAAACUCUGAGAAGUUCUCUCAUUAAUGUCUCCUUCAUUCAAAUUUUGAGGACCAGGCCUGUCGUGGUAAGAGGGGCAGAAGAGGCAACCUAAGCUCCCCUCUCCCCCUCCCUUUCUUCCUCUCCCUCUUCCUUCCUAUCUGGCUUCGUUCAAGAGCGUAUGUGUAUAUAUUAUGAUCUGCAGGCCAAUUACCUCAAAAAGAUAUAAGAGCUCCUUUCUCUCUUCCCCAAGUACACCAACAUCUGGAGAAAUCUUUUCAAAUUAUUCUGCUAGGUCAUGGAAACUAAUUAUGUAAGAUGGUGGUAACUGGCAAUGGUGGGUGCUGAGUUUUUCAUUUGUUGAUGAUUUUGAAUGAGGAUGAGUGGAUAUCAUCUGUUUUGGUUAGUUACCUGCCUCAGUAUUAGAACUGUUCAAUAUUUUCUUAGCUAUGUUUAUACAAGAGAUGAGACAUUGGUCUUGUUUUACCAGAUGAUAAAAGAAGCUAUAGAAGGAAGUAAUGAGAAAGUACUCUGAAUACAGCAAAAAUACCAGAUGAUGACUUCGAUUAGGAAAACCUUUAAGGACAAGAUAAUGUCUUGAAAUUCACAUUUUAUUCACAAUGACUUCUAGCAAAAAUAAAACUUGAAAAUGU